rfam:Brachypodium distachyon strain Bd21 chromosome 1, whole genome shotgun sequence.
UAAAUACCCCGUGUACAUGAACUUAUAAGACGAGUACAACGUAUGGUACAUCACAAGUAUCUUAUUAGUUUUUAAGUACCAUGUGUACAUAGACUUAUGAGACGAGUACAUCGUAUGGUACAU